AUGGGCUCCCUAAACGACAUUGGUGUUGCCGCAGGAAUAAACAUAUUAUCCGCAGUGGGCUUUCUUCUCGUGUUCGCAGUUGUUAGGAUACAACCUAUUAAUGAUCGGGUAUACUUUCCAAAAUGGUACCUUAAAGGGACAAGAAGCAGCCCAAGGCACAUCGGAAAUGUCUUGUCAAAAUUUGUGAAUGCUGAUGUGUCAACAUAUCUUCGGUUUCUCAACUGGAUGCCCGCCGCGCUGAAAAUGCCAGAACCUGAGUUAAUUGAGCAUGCAGGACUAGACUCUGCGGUAUAUGUCCGCAUCUAUCUUCUCGGUUUAAAAAUAUUUGUGCCAAUUACUGUGCUGGCAUUUGCUGUCCUAGUUCCUGUCAAUUGGACUAGUGCAACUUUAGGGGAUGAUGAAGAGGGUCUAAGUUAUGAUCAAAUUGACAAGCUUUCAAUAUCGAAUCUUGGUCCAGGUUCAAAAAGGUUUUGGGUACACAUUGGAAUGGCCUAUGUGUUUACCUUUUGGACAUUCUACGUGUUAUAUCAUGAAUAUAAGGUUAUAACAACUAUGAGAUUGCACUUUCUUGCCAAUCAAAAUCGUCGGCCCGACCAAUUCACGGUACUUGUGAGAAAUAUACCAGUUGACCCAGACGAAACAGUUGGUGAGCAUGUUGAGCACUUCUUUGCUGUGAAUCAUCGCGAGCAUUAUCUCAGCCACCAGGUUGCAUACAACGCAAACGCCCUUGCCAGUUUGGUUAAGAAGAAGAAAGGCUUGCAAAACUGGCUGGUCUACUACGAAAACCAGCACGCUAAGAACCCUGAAAAGGAGCUGACUAUUAAGACAGGACUGUGGGGUCUUUGGGGGGAAAAGGUGGAUGCAUUACAACACUACAAGACAACAAUCGAGGAGCUAUGUAAACAGGAGGAUGAGGGGAGGCAGAAGGUGAUUAGUGAUCCUAAGGCUAUAAUGCCAGCAGCAUUUGUGUCUUUCAAUAGUCAGUGGGGGGCUGCUGUUUGUGCACAAACACAGCAGACAAGUAACCCAACGGUGUGGUUAACUGAGUGGGCUCCGGAACCUCGGGAUGUUUACUGGCCUAAUCUCGCCAUCCCUUUUGUCGAGCUCUCGAUCAGGAGGCUUAUCAUGGCUGUUGCGCUCUUUUUCCUGACAUUUUUCUUCAUGGUCCCAAUUGCGCUCGUCCAAUCCGUGGCCAAUCUCGACGAUAUUGAGCGGGUGCUUCCUUUCUUGAAACCUAUAAUAGAGAGAAAUGGUCCAAGGUCAGUCAUACAAGGUUUCUUGCCAGGAAUCGCAUUGAAAAUCUUCCUUAUAUUUCUGCCAACAAUUCUCAUGGCCAUGAGCAAGAUUGAAGGCCACGUAUCACUCUCUGGAUUGGAGAGGAAGACAGCAUCAAAAUACUUCCUGUUUAUUUUCGUCAACGUAUUCUUGGGAAGUGUAGUAGCUGGAACAGCGUUCCAGCAGCUGAACAGUUUUAUCCAUCAAUCCACUAACAAAAUUCCAGAGACCAUUGGAGAAUCCAUUCCCAUGAAAGCAACUUUUUUCAUCACCUACAUUAUGGUGGAUGGAUGGGCAGGCAUUGCCGCUGAGGUUCUUAGGUUGAAGCCGUUGAUCAUGUUCCACAUAAAGAACACAUUCUUGGUCAGAACCGAGCAAGAUCGCGAGCAGGCCAUGGACCCUGGGAGCUUGGAGUUUGGCAGCACCGAACCGCGAAUACAGCUCUACUUCCUCCUAGGGCUUGUAUAUGCUGUUGUGACACCCAUCAUUCUUCCUUUCAUCAUAGUCUUCUUCGGCCUGGCCUAUCUUGUUUUCAGACACCAGAUCAUCAAUGUCUAUAACCAGCAAUACGAGAGCGGCGCGCAAUUCUGGCCAGACGUACACGGACGAAUCGUCACCGCAUUAGUCAUAUCGCAGAUCCUGCUGAUAGGACUGCUGAGCACACAGGAAGCAGACCAGUCCACUGUCGCCCUUCUUCCUCUUCCUGUCCUGGCCAUAUGGUUCCACUACGUCUGCAAGGGCCGGUUCGAGCCGGCAUACAUAAAAUUCCCCUUGCAGGAGGCCAUGGUGAAGGACACGCUGCAACGGGCAAACGACCCGAUGCUGAACCUGAGAGAGUACCUCAAGGACGCAUACGUGCACCCCGUCUUCCGCAGCGGUGACAUCUAUGAGCUCUUGGCCAUGGAUGAAGAGGAGAACCCCCACCUUGUCGCGACCAAGCGGCGGUCUCGGAUGACCACGCCGGUGGACAGCAAGUUCAGUUCCAGCUCUGGCACCAACGAAGGAGAGUUCAGCCGGCCGCGUCCUAGCUGA
rnacentral:rRNA from 1 species